UGGAUACAUUCCUCUGUGAUAUGUUAUUGUUAUUUCACGUUUUACAUCUGGUUUUCCAUCACACUCCUAACACCUAACCCUAAUUAUUGGAUGUUGAUUUCUUGCCUUCCAGGGGAAGGAAGGACGGCAGGGCUAUCCUGGGCCAUCGGGGGUCGCGGGAGCAGAAGGCCAGCCUGGCAGGCCAGGGACACCGGGAACACCAGGAGAGAAGGUGAGUUUCCUUUGGUUGUAGGCCUGUGUGUUUUCAUCUUGCCAGAGAAAUAUUGUAUUCUGUUUAACUACAUGUCUAGUGCUCUAUGAUAAUAAUAAUAAUGUUUAGCUACAUGCUAGUGGACUAGAAUGUAGUUUGAGUAAUGUAAGGCUAAAGGUUUAGCAGUCUAUAAUGUAGUUAGACUAAUGUUUAGCUAAAUGUUUAGCAGUCUAUAACGUAGUUUGAGUAAUGUUAAGCUACCGUAAAUAUUUUUCUGGUCUAUAAUAAAGUUUGAGUAAGGUUAAGCUGAAAGUCUAUAAUCCAGUUUGUCCAUUAGGGCCAAGAGGGCAUCAGUCCAGUGAUACCUGGACCUAGAGGACAGAAGGUAACAUAUCCAUCACAUUUGACUGUACUAUUGCGGUAUUACUGUACUAUAUCACUGUAUUAUAUUAUAUAUUGUAUAUAUAUACUAUAUUACUGUAGCACUCUUUCUUGGCAUAGCUAU
rnacentral:lncRNA from 1 species